rnacentral:rRNA from 1 species
GACAGAGGCCUCGAGCGUUAGGCGGAAUCACUGGGCUUAAAGCGUGUGUAGGCGGAUCGUUAAGUACCUUGUGAAAUCCCACGGCUCAACCGUGGAACGGCUGGGUAUACUGGCGGUCUUGGGCCAUUCAGGGGCGACUGAAACAAGCGGUGGAGCGGUGAAAUGCGUAGAUAUCGCUUGGAACGCCGAAAGGUGAAAACAGGUCGCUGGGGGAUGCUGCC